rnacentral:lncRNA from 1 species
CAUGGCGGCGGGUGGGGAAGGCAGCCGGGACUGGCAGCGGGCGGGCUGCUGAGGGGCCAACCCCUGGUGGCGGCGGUGUUGAGCCGGUGGCUAGCGAGAAGUCGGCCGGCAGUGGGGCCGCCUCCUUUUCUUCCUCCUGCUUGGACGACUGUCUUCCGCCUCAACUGUGGAGCCUCGCCGACCGUUAGUCCUCACAGACACCUCAGGGGCAACCGACGCAGCGCCACCUCAUCGUGUCCGCCAUCUUGGGGCGACGGCCAGAAGUCCAGGGCUAGGAGCCUCAGCCGGCGGACGCCAGGAAACAGAAAUAUCUGAAUGAAAUGCUCAUGAAAGGAUUAAGAAAGUCUGCAGUUGAGCCUGGAGCCAGCAAAAGACAUCAUCACUAAAAGUAUAUGCAUGACCCGCAUUUGUUGCCUUUAUGGUCCUUACCCAAGAUAUUUGAAUUCACCAGAAUGGUCUUAAUAUGGUAUUGUAAGUACCUGGAUCUGAAAACCAUUAAGUAUGAGAGUGCGCUGUAUUGGUGAUGCCAGUUUGUGGACUCCUUAUGUAAAUAAAUGAAGGACAAGUUAAAAACUGCAGUCACUCAUGUGAAAUAUAAAAGGCUGGCAGAAUACGGCUAAAUGUCGAGGUCUAGCCCAAUGUGUGAGAUUUAGAGAAAUCAUGUAUUCCAAUAAAAUCAGAUAUACUCCUGAAACUAU